UUGCUUCUUGAUUCAGAUUUUGGUGAGUGGCGGACGGGUGAGUAACACGUGGGUAACCUGCCCAAAAGUGGGGGAUAACAUUUGGAAACAAGUGCUAAUACCGCAUAACAACUGCUUUCACAUGAUCGCAGCUUGAAAGAUGGCUCUGCUAUCGCUUUUGGAUGGACCCGCGGCGUAUUAGCUAGUUGGUGAGGUAAUAGCUCACCAAGGCAAUGAUACGUAGCCGACCUGAGAGGGUAAUCGGCCACAUUGGGACUGAGACACGGCCCAAACUCCUACGGGAGGCAGCAGUAGGGAAUCUUCCACAAUGGGCGAAAGCCUGAUGGAGCAAUGCCGCGUGAGUGAAGAAGGUUUUCGGAUCGUAAAACUCUGUUGUUGAAGAAGAACAUGCGUGAGAGUAACUGUUCACGUACUGACGGUAUUCAACCAGAAAGCCACGGCUAACUACGUGCCAGCAGCCGCGGUAAUACGUAGGUGGCAAGCGUUGUCCGGAUUUAUUGGGCGUAAAGAGAAUGUAGGCGGUUUAUUAAGUUUGAAGUGAAAGCCCUCGGCUCAACCGAGGAAGUGCUUCGAAAACUGGU
rnacentral:rRNA from 1 species